UACGUAGGUGGCAAGCGUUAUCCGGAAUUAUUGGGCGUAAAGCGCGCGCAGGUGGUUCCUUAAGUCUGAUGUGAAAGCCCCCGGCUCAACCGGGGGAGGGUCAUUGGAAACUGGGGAACUUGAGUGUAGAAGAGGAAAGUGGAAUUCCACGUGUAGCGGUGAAAUGCGUAGAGAUGUGGAGGAACACCAGUGGCGAAGGCGACUUUCUGGUCUAUAACUGACACUGAGGCGCGAAAGCGUGGGGAGCAAACAGG
rnacentral:rRNA from 1 species